GAGUUAUUACAAUUCUUUUAGAAUUCUUCUAGCAGGUUUUCUGACUUCCGUCAGAAAAAUCUUG